rnacentral:rRNA from 1 species
UACGUAGGGGGCAAGCGUUGUCCGGAAUCAUUGGCGUAAAGCGCGUGUAGGCGGCCUUGUAAGUCCGUUCUGAAAGCCCGGGCUCAACCCGGGAGGCGGAUGGAUACUGCAAGGCUCGAGUACGGAAGAGGCGAGUGGAAUUCCCGGUGUAGCGGUGAAAUGCGCAGAUAUCGGAGGAACACCAAUGGCGAAGGCAGCUCGCUGGGACGUGACUGACGCUGAGGCGCGAAAGCGUGGGAGCGAACAGG